GCCGUCUUAGUUCAGUUGGUAGAGAACGUGGCUUUUAACCAUGUGGUCAUGGGUUUGAUUCCCACAGACGACA
rnacentral:tRNA from 1 species